AAGAGAUCAUGCCCUCACGGGUAGACCUCCCACCCUUUGUAUACUAUACUUUGUUGCUUUGGCGAACCAGCCGGAGGACCUAAAACUCUGAAUUAUAAUGCCGUCUGAGUACUAUAUAAUAGUUA
rnacentral:misc_RNA from 1 species